GACGAACGCUGGCGGCGUGCUUAACACAUGCAAGUCGAACGGAAAGGCCCUGCUUUUGUGGGGUGCUCGAGUGGCGAACGGGUGAGUAACACGUGAGUAACCUGCCCUUGUCUUUGGGAUAACUUCAGGAAACUGGGGCUAAUACCGGAUAGGAGCUCCUGCUGCAUGGUGGGGGUUGGAACGUUUCGGCGGUUGGGGAUGGACUCGCGGCUUAUGAGCUUGUUGGUGGGGUAGUGGCUUACCAAGGCUUUGACGGAUAGCCGGCAUGAGAGGGUGACCGGCGACAUUGGGACUGCGGGACGGCGCAGAGGCGUACGGGAGGCAGUAGUGGGGAACAUUACACAGUGGGCGGAAGCCUGAUGCAGCAACGCCGCGUGCGGGAUGACGGCCUUCGGGUUGUAAACCGCUGUCGCCUGAUACGAAGCGUGAGUGACGGUAAUGGGUAAAGAAGCACCGGCUAACUACGUG
rnacentral:rRNA from 1 species